rnacentral:sRNA from 12 species
UCCUGACAGCGAUCCCCGCUGACACUAGCCACGACAGGAGUUAACCAUG